rnacentral:rRNA from 1 species
CCUACGGGGGACAGCAGUGAGGAAUAUUGGUCAAUGGGCGAGAGCCUGAACCAGUCAAGUCGCGUGAAGGAUGAAGGAUCUAUGGUUUGUAAACUUCUUUUAUAUGGGAAUAAAGUGAGGAACGUGUUCCUUUUUGUAUGUACCAUAUGAAUACGCAUCGGCUAACUCCGUGCCAGCAGCCGCGGUAAUACGGAGGAUGCGAGCGUUAUCCGGAUUUAUUGGGUUUAAAGGGUGCGUAGGUGGUGAAUUAAGUCAGCGGUGAAAGUUUGUGGCUCAACCAUAAAAUUGCCGUUGAAACUGGUUGACUUGAGUAUAUGUGAGGUAGGCGGAAUGCGUGGUGUAGCGGUGAAAUGCAUAGAUAUCACGCAGAACUCCGAUUGCGAAGGCAGCUUACUAAACUAUAACUGACAUUGAUGCUCGAAAGUGUGGGUAUCAAACAGGAUUAGAUACCCGAGUAGUC